AAAAGGUGGCUAUGCUACCGCUUUUGGAUGGGCCCGCGGCGCAUUAGCUAGUUGGUGGGGUAAAGGCUUACCAAGGCAAUGAUGCGUAGCCGAACUGAGAGGUUGAUCGGCCACAUUGGGACUGAGACACGGCCCAAACUCCUACGGGAGGCAGCAGUAGGGAAUCUUCCACAAUGGGCGAAAGCCUGAUGGAGCAACGCCGCGUGGGUGAAGAAGGUCUUCGGAUCGUAAAACCCUGUUGUUAGAGAAGAAAGUGCGUGAGAGUAACUGUUCACGUUUCGACGGUAUCUAACCAGAAAGCCACGGCUAACUACGUGCCAGCAGCCGCGGUAAUACGUAGGUGGCAAGCGUUAUCCGGAUUUAUUGGGCGUAAAGGGAACGCAGGCGGUCUUUUAAGUCUGAUGUGAAAGCCUUCGGCUUAACCGGAGUAGUGCAUUGGAAACUGGGAGACUUGAGUGCAGAAGAGGAGAGUGGAACUCCAUGUGUAGCGGUGAAAUGCGUAGAUAUAUGGAAGAACACCAGUGGCGAAAGCGGCUCUCUGGCCUGUAACUGACGCUGAGGUUCGAAAGCGUGGGUAGCAAACAGGAUUAGAUACCCUGGUAGUCCACGCCGU
rnacentral:rRNA from 1 species